rnacentral:rRNA from 1 species
AGAGUUUGAUCCUGGCUCAGGAUGAACGCUGGCGGCGUGCUUAACACAUGCAAGUCGAACGGGAAAUAUUUCAUUGAGACUUCGGUGGAUUUGAUCUAUUUCUAGUGGCGGACGGGUGAGUAACGCGUGGGUAACCUGCCUUAUACAGGGGGAUAACAGUCAGAAAUGGCUGCUAAUACCGCAUAAGCGCACAGAGCUGCAUGGCUCAGUGUGAAAAACUCCGGUGGUAUAAGAUGGACCCGCGUUGGAUUAGCUUGUUGGCGGGGUAACGGCCCACCAAGGCGACGAUCCAUAGCCGGCCUGAGAGGGUGAACGGCCACAUUGGGACUGAGACACGGCCCAGACUCCUACGGGAGGCAGCAGUGGGGAAUAUUGCACAAUGGGGGAAACCCUGAUGCAGCGACGCCGCGUGAAGGAAGAAGUAUCUCGGUAUGUAAACUUCUAUCAGCAGGGAAGAUAGUGACGGUACCUGACUAAGAAGCCCCGGCUAACUACGUGCCAGCAGCCGCGGU